ACCAGACUCCUACGGGAGGCAGCAGUGGGGAAUAUUGCACAAUGGGGGAAACCCUGAUGCAGCAACGCCGCGUGAAGGAAGACGGUUUUCGGAUUGUAAACUUCUGUUCUUAGUGAAGAAGAAUGACGGUAGCUAAGGAGCAAGCCACGGCUAACUACGUGCCAGCAGCCGCGGUAAUACGGAGGAUGCGAGCGUUAUCCGGAUUUAUUGGGUUUAAAGGGUGCGUAGGCGGUCCGUUAAGUCAGCGGUAAAAUUGCGGGGCUCAACCCUGUCGAGCCGUUGAAACUGGCAGACUUGAGUUGGCGAGAAGUACGCGGAAUGCGCGGUGUAGCGGUGAAAUGCAUAGAUAUCGCGCAGAACUCCGAUUGCGAAGGCAGCGUACCGGCGCCAGACUGACGCUGAGGCACGAAAGCGUGGGGAUCGAACAGGAUUAGAUACCCUAGUA
rnacentral:rRNA from 1 species